AACGCUAGCUACAGGCUUAACACAUGCAAGUCGAGGGGAAACGAUAUUGGAAGCUUGCUUCCGAUAGGCGUCGACCGGCGCACGGGUGAGUAACGCGUAUCCAACCUGCCCACCACUUGGGGAUAACCUUGCGAAAGUAAGACUAAUACCCAAUGACGUCUCUAGAAGACAUCUGAAAGAGAUUAAAGAUUUAUCGGUGAUGGAUGGGGAUGCGUCUGAUUAGCUUGUUGGCGGGGUAACGGCCCACCAAGGCAACGAUCAGUAGGGGUUCUGAGAGGAAGGUCCCCCACAUUGGAACUGAGACACGGUCCAAACUCCUACGGGAGGCAGCAGUGAGGAAUAUUGGUCAAUGGACGAGAGUCUGAACCAGCCAAGUAGCGUGCAGGAAGACGGCCCUAUGGGUUGUAAACUGCUUUUAUAAGGGAAUAAAGUGAGUCUCGUGAGACUUUUUGCAUGUACCUUAUGAAUAAGGACCGGCUAAUUCCGUGCCAGCAGCCGCGGUAAUACGGAAGGUCCGGGCGUUAUCCGGAUUUAUUGGGUUUAAAGGGAGCGUAGGCCGGAGAUUAAGCGUGUUGUGAAAUGUAGACGCUCAACGUCUGCACUGCAGCGCGAACUGGUUUCCUUGAGUACGCACAAAGUGGGCGGAAUUCGUGGUGUAGCGGUGAAAUGCUUAGAUAUCACGAAGAACUCCGAUUG
rnacentral:rRNA from 1 species